ACUACUCAGUGCUAUUAAGACCGCAGUAGUGUUAACUGGUGAGGGCAGCAGUCAACCCUCUGCAGUAUUACAUAAUUCAUUACAACCACAAGGGGCAAGCAAGCUAGUUGACUACAAACCAUGAGGAUAUAAUUGACUAUGUAGAAGUCCAGGUUUCACCACAUCAUCCAAGCUUGCCACGUCCUCGAUUCUCACUGUAUCUCUCUUCUCAGCUGCAGUAUGGAGUGAUCAUUGUUUACCACAAACAAUGUGCAUUUCUACUUGAGGAGGUCCAGCAGACAAUUGAACGCUUAUUGCGCACAGAAAAUCACACACAAAUUGACAUGCAAGACCCAGACAGGUUAGCUUUAAAUAUCCCAGACGCAUUGUUUCUCAUGGAGGGAGCAGAGGGAGCUCUGGAGCCAUUUGGUGUAAUGGGGCCUACUGGGCAACUGCCAAGUCCCAAUCAAUUACCACAACCAUGGCAAUUUAUGAAGACUUCAUUCUCUGACCGUCCUUUGGGGACUAGAAAGGAAUGUACAGAUGCAACAAAUGGAGGUAGAUGUACAGUUAGAGAUUAAAAGGAA